rnacentral:rRNA from 1 species
GCCUACGGGAGGCAGCAGUGAGGAAUAUUGGUCAAUGGUCGGGAGACUGAACCAGCCAAGCCGCGUGAGGGAUGAAGGUACAGAGUAUCGUAAACCUCUUUUGUCAGGGAACAAAGGCGGGGACGUGUCCCCGGAUGAGUGUACCUGAAGAAAAAGCAUCGGCUAACUCCGUGCCAGCAGCCGCGGUAAUACGGAGGAUGCGAGCGUUAUCCGGAUUUAUUGGGUUUAAAGGGUGCGCUGGCGGUCUGUUAAGUCAGCGGUCACAGCCCGGGGCUAAACCCCGUCCCGCCCUUGAA